rnacentral:rRNA from 1 species
UACGAAGGGGGCUAGCGUUGCUCGGAAUCACUGGGCGUAAAGGGCGCGUAGGCGGCCAAGUAAGUUGGGGGUGAAAGCCCGUGGCUCAACCACGGAAUUGCCUUCGAUACUGCUUGGCUUGAGACCGGAAGAGGUGAGUGGAACUGUGAGUGUAGAGGUGAAAUUCGUAGAUAUUCGCAAGAACACCAGUGGCGAAGGCGGCUCACUGGUCCGGAUCUGACGCUGAGGCGCGAAAGCGUGGGGAGCAAACAGG